rnacentral:lncRNA from 1 species
UGUGAUGAUGUUCAUAAUAACGGAAUUAUCUUUUUUUUCUAAGACAGAAAUGGAGAGGAAUGGAAACUAUACUAUGAGGAUGAAAAUAUGCCAGUGUUCAGCACAUGUGAAACAUUAAAAACUGAGUUAUUUUGCUGAUUGGGCAUAAAAUCGAGGCUGUGUGUGAACACGAUACCCCGAGCUAGCGCAAUUGAUUCCAGAAGGGUGGACUGUGUUGAGAUGAGUUUGAAUGAUGGCCGAGUGGCUUCUGUGGAGGAAUGGCCCCCUGUUGGAGCCGUUAUCUGUGGCAUUAUUCUGGCAGAGCGAUGGGCUGGACCCUGGAAGGGACAGCUGAGUCAUUUGGCAGAGACCGGCGAGCCAAUUGGUCAGGGAAGUUAUGAGGACAACACUAGAUUUGUGACCACCUUACAGCACCGCCCCCCCCCCUUCAAGACAAAAAUCAUUACCAGCUAAUAGCCCCUACCUAAUGUAUAGCACUCUAUGUUGUUUUAUAGCUAAAACAAAUCACAAUAAAACGACAUGGCAGUGCUAUCUUGUUGAUUUGUAACUAUCUGGAGCGAAAACAUAAUAUUUUGUAGUUUGAGGGGAACAAAAA